rnacentral:tRNA from 1 species
UCGUAGCUCAAUUGGAUAGAGCAUCGGUCUACGGAACCGAAGGUUAUAGGUUCGAAUCCUAUCGA